rnacentral:rRNA from 1 species
CCUACGGGAGGCAGCAGUGAGGAAUAUUGGUCAAUGGACGAGAGUCUGAACCAGCCAAGUAGCGUGAAGGAUGACUGCCCUAUGGGUUGUAAACUUCUUUUAUAUGGGAAUAAAAUGUUCCACGUGUGGGAUUUUGUAUGUACCAUAUGAAUAAGGAUCGGCUAACUCCGUGCCAGCAGCCGCGGUAAUACGGAGGAUCCGAGCGUUAUCCGGAUUUAUUGGGUUUAACGGGAGCGUAGGUGGAUUGUUAAGUCAGUUGUGAAAGUUUGCGGCUCAACCGUAAAAUUGCAGUUGAAACUGGCAGUCUUGAGUACAGUAGAGGUGGGCGGAAUUCGUGGUGUAGUGGUGAAAUGCUUAGAUAUCACGAAGAACUCCGAUUGCGAAGGCAGUUCACUGGACUGCAACUGACACUGAGGCUCGAAAGUGUGGGUAUCAAACAGGAUUAGAUACCCUUGUAGUC